AACGAACGCUGGCGGCAUGCCUAACACAUGCAAGUCGAACGAGACCUUCGGGUCUAGUUGCGCACGUGUGCGUACCGCGUGGGAACCUGCCCUUAGGUUCGGAAUACCUCCCCGAAAGGGGUGCUAAUACCGGAUAAUGUCUUCGGACCAAAGAUUUAUCGCCUUUGGAUGGGCCCGCGUUGGAUUAGCUAGUUGGUAGGGUAAAAGCCUACCAAGGCGACGAUCCAUAGCUGGUCUGAGAGGAUGAUCAGCCACACUGGGACUGAGACACGGCCCAGACUCCUACGGGAGGCAGCAGUGGGGAAUAUUGGACAAUGGGCGAAAGCCUGAUCCAGCAAUGCCGGGGGAGUGAUGAAGGCCUUAGGGUUGUAAAGCUCUUUUACCCGGGAUGAUAAUGACAGUACCGGGAGAAUAAGCUCCGGCUAACUCCGUG
rnacentral:rRNA from 1 species